CAAUCGCCGCGGGAAUACAGAGGGUGCGAGCGUUAAUCGUAUUUACUGGGCGUAAAGCGUGCGUAGGCGGCUUCUUAAGUCGGAUGUGAAAUCCCUGAGCUUAACUUAGGAAUUGCAUUCGAUACUGGGAAGCUAGAGUAUGGGAGAGGAUGGUAGAAUUCCAGGUGUAGCGGUGAAAUGCGUAGAGAUCUGGAGGAAUACCGAUGGCGAAGGCAGCCAUCUGGCCUAAUACUGACGCUGAGGUACGAAAGCAUGGGGAGCAAACAGGAUUAGAUACCCCAGUAGUCCCUGUCUCUUAUAC
rnacentral:rRNA from 1 species